CGCCAAUCCUGUUGGUGCAAAAAUCCACUUGCGUCGGAGAAGCUGGAGUCGAGGGAGUCGCGGUCGCCAUCGGGACCUGCAAAAGAAGUCUAAACCGGAGGUGGGGUUGCUCCGGCAAGAUCCUCCGAUGCUGAAGUCAGUUCUCUGCCUCAACAAGAAUGGAGUGCUCGAACGAAAAUUUUAGCAGAGUUUCUAGGUAAAAAUG
rnacentral:lncRNA from 1 species